GGCUCUCUGGAUAUAUUCAGCCACAUAUAAUCCUAAACAAUGCAAGUCUUAAAAUACUAUGCAAAAGGUUUAGCCCAUAUAGGAAAAUCAUUAAGCAAAAUGUUUUGCCAGCAGACCCAAAACAUUAUGAUGUCAUUAUGAAGUUUGCCUUCAUAGUGUGAAAGUUUUCAUGUCAUAGUGUUGAGUGUUUGAACCAGAUUUCCCCUUAAAUGCUGUAAGAGGGGCCUUGAGAGGAAUGCUGGACCAAUAGCUCAGGAAACUGAAUUCUCUGCCACCUGAGUCAUUUACUGACACUGUGUUCAUGAACAAGCCAUUCUGACCUUAGCUUGUCCCUCUAAUAACUUGUGAAAUCAAAGUUCUGGACUAAGUCAUCUUCAUAAUUCUUCCAGGCUCCGAAGGCCGUCAAUUUAUAAAUUUGCCUAUUUCCUUUUAAAAUCACUAGAACUGUUUCUGGCCCUAGUCACAUAUAUGAAUAUAGGUUCACAAAUAUUUACGGAAUGCCAGAUAUUUGUGGGUGAUCACCCAAUUUUGCAUUAUAUGGAUUAUGUGUGUGUUGGGAAGAAGAGGACCAUAAACCUGAUUUUCAAGGAAUUUGCAUUGGAAUUGUGUAGAGCACUGGGCAAACAGCAAGUCAUAAGAUUUUGAAUGUCUCGUGUCUCCUGACUCCUAGUUCAGUGCUAUCUCUUCCAUCCCAUGCUCCUUCUCUUACAGAGCUCCACAUAUUAAAUUGGCAGAGGUCUCCUGGCUAUGUGGUCUGUAGACUUCCUAUAAAACUCCAAAAAAUUUAUUUCCUACUACAUACUUACAAUUGUGCUCUAUUAUGACUCGUCUAAGACUAAUAAUGUUUGCUGUGAGAACAGUCAUUCAACCUCUCUCUAGUUAACAUUUGCUGCACUUUAACUUCCUUAUAAAGCUACAUAUGGGUAAGAUAUUCUGUUAAUAACUGCCCACUUCUCGAAAGAGUUGAUGGAACAGUUAAAUCAGAAAGGACUUUCUGGAGGAGAGUUUUGAUAUGGAAUUCGAGUGGGGUGACAAACAGGGAUGGUUGGAGAAGUGGAAAGUCAUCUUAAAGGCAGGUGGAUGGUGUUUGCAAAGGGACAGAGUUGGAAACAAUCAAGGGCAUGUGGCAGACACUGGCCAGCUUGGCUGUGGGGAGUGGGAUCUGAGGACUUCUCCUGCCAUUCUUUUUCUGCCCUGACUCUCUUAGUAGCAUGAAAUGCACCUUUUAAGCCCAGUGUUGGUUUUAAAUAUGGAAGGAGCUCAUGUGGAAGACAGAUGGGUGAGAAUACGACUCUGGUGGAAAUCGUUUUAAAGAUACAGAGCAAGGCAUGGCAAAAUCAUCGCUGUAAGAAUGUAUCUCUUUGUGCAAAGAUAUUCCGUUUGCAUAUUUGGUUUCAUGCUUCACUCUCUGUGUGUGUGUGUGUGUGUGUAUGUGUGAGAGAGAGAGAGACAGACAGAGAGAGGGAGAGACAGAAAGGAGAGAUUUAAUGCAAAGUAAGCAGCUGACUUAUUGCAAGAGCAUAUCAUCACUGAAAUUAUCAUAGAUAUUAGAAGUUGGAAAAUGUCAUUGUGUUUAGUGUCAGCUCCUGUUGUUGCCAAAACUCAGCCUCUGUCUGCCGUUGCCGAAUAGAAACAUGGAGACAGAGUUUUGGGUGAAGGAGAAAAAAAUAGCUUUUAUUGCUUUGCCAGGCAAAGGAGGCCACAGAAGGCUAAUGGCUUCAAAACUGUGCCCUCCUUUGGGGAAGAACUGCAGGGAGUUUUAUAGUCUAAAAGGAGAAAAACAGGGUUUCAGGUUAGAAUCAGGAUUGGGGCAGGUGUGCAUUCUUCUUUCUUUUGAGGGGGGGAAUCUUAGUCAUUGAAGCUGGUGUCAGGCAAUUUCAGUGUGAUCCUUGUGGUGGUCUUCUGGGUUAUUUCCUAGAAUAACAGUACUUGUGAAAAGGGCAUAUUGAUCAGAGAUUAGAACAAACUAGGAAGGUUCCUGAAAAACAUCAGCUGUUUAUAAUCUUUGACCCACAGGCCAUUGUGCUCAGAGUGCCUACUCUUUAGCUCACAGGUGAUUGUGUUUAGGGUGAAGUCAGAGAGAGGAGAAUCACAAGGAAGGGCUCCAAGCUGUUCAACUUUAAAGUAUUCACUUUGAAGUUAUUCAUUUCUAAAAGAAGCAUAAGGACUAUAACUUUUCUCUUAAGUGUAUAAGAUGCCUACAUCAUUAUGUGUAUCCCUUGAGAGGGGACCAGGAUCCUGCCGCAAGACUACCAUCAUUGCCUGACUCCUCUUUUGUCUUUGCAUCCCCUCCCUUCCUUGAUCAACAACUGUCUGAACCUGCCCCUUGGAACUCAGGGAAGGCCAUGGAGUCUGAAUGAGGCCCAAUUCCUAAAAACAAGAAAUGGGGGACAGAGAAAGGUCCCUGCUUAGUUACACUGUCUCCUCCUUGAGAAUCAUGAUAGUUCCUAAGCACUGAUUUGGACUUUGUCACAAGAAUAAAGCACAAAGCCACAUGUUCAAAUAACACAUCAUAAGUUGUCUACAGCAAACUGAAUUGGCUGACCCCAAAGGAAUGCAUACACAUUAUGAACCAGUGGGGCACUGGUUGUGUUUUCUAUCAGAGGCAUGGAAGCAAUUCCCCCUCCCGUGUCCUCCUCCAGGCUUCUCUGCCGUCUUGCUUGUUCCUGGUAAAUACCCAUGGAUGUCAUCAAGCACAAAUGACCAAGAAAACCUCAAGAAAAAGGGAGCAGGACUUUUUCCACUUUCUUUUUAUAGCUGCUUUCUUGGAUUCCUUUCACCUGCUCUCUCCACGUACCCAUCCACACAUACACAUAUAAUUGGAAUGAAUUUUCUCUGGAGCAGUUGUUUAUACAAACAUUACGUUGCUGUAGGUUUCUAUAUCUGAUUACACCUCUGUUUUAGCUUCUCUUGGCUAGUGUAACCUGCUACCCAAUAUCAGUCACUACUGGAGGUCUUUACCUGAAAGUGGGCCAAGGAAUCGGGGAAGGACCUCCAACUCCAUAGGGCAUUAUGGUCACUGCUGAGAUGUGCCCUAUGGUUGGUCUGCUGCAAGACAGGAGUCUGAGUUCCCCCUGUAACGGAUGUAGGGGGCAUUGGCAGCCUUCUUCAUGUCGACCAAGGCUCCUUGUCAUUCAGGCUCCAGCAUCCCAGGCCAUCCUAUCAGACAUCCUGAACAGUCAGUAGGAUGACUGUGGGGAGUGUGGAGGUUCUACCACUCCAGUCUCUCUUAAUUUCCAGGUUAUUUUAACCAUCUAAACUCAAAGCCGCAUCAAUCCCUUUGUCUAGUACAAACUUCAAAGCCUGGGUAGGGUUAUUUUUCAAGUGUCUGGCAAUUUUUUUUCUCAAGUCCUAAACCGACCAUUGCUAGAAGCCCUGAAAUCAGAACUCAAGACUUUGCAAGGCAACUGUGCUCACCACUAUACUACCAAUGCCAAACUCAAGACUUAAAAAAAAACAAACCUGAUGACAUAUGACAUAUUCCAAAUGACGUAAUGUUGUACAGAGAAAUUCCAAAAGUUAACAGAAACAUAUCAUUAGAAUUUAUAGAUGAAUUUAAUUGUCAUUAUAUGCAAGUUCAAUAUACAAAAGUUAUAUUUUUAUAUUAAAUAAGU
rnacentral:lncRNA from 1 species